CUGGUGAGCCGCGAGGCUUGCUGGAGGAAAGUCCGAACACCAUACGGCGACAUGCCGCGUAAAAUACGCGGGCGCCGCAAUUGUAAGAUUGCGGUGACGGAAAGUGUCACAGAAAAGACACCGCCGGUUCUUUGGCAACAAAGUGCAGGCAAGGGUGAAAAGGCGAGGUAAGAGCUCACCGCUCGCGAAGCAAUUCGCGAGGCACGAAAAACCCCAUGCGGUGCAAGACAAAACAGAGGGAGGGCAGCCGGCCCGUCGAUCCUCGGGUAUCGUCGCAUCACGCUGCGCGCAAGCGCAGCG
rnacentral:RNase_P_RNA from 1 species